rnacentral:lncRNA from 1 species
GCCAGCGACCAUCCAAAAGCUAACUGAUCUUCGAAUUUGUGUGAACAAGCUCCUCAACUCCCUCCAACAUAACUAUAACUCUCUUUCCUUUUCCUUUCUUGCGGACCCGAGGAGCUGCCUUCUUUCCCUAGAUACCCCUCUCUGCCUAACUCUACAAGGUGGAAUGACUGUUCUCACUCCUUGAGUAAAUCGAGCAUCAAGAUCCGUGGAAUCGGAAUCGAAAUCGGGAUCCGUGCUGGUCAGCCGUCAGUACGAGUCGGUACGAAUCCACACCGAACCGAAGCGAUGAGAACCAAUACAGAAGAGAAGGAAACCGGGGAAGAGAAAGAGGGGAGGGGGAGGAAGAGGUUAGCCGAAGGAGACGUCGGCAGUGGCCACAGGCGGGCCGCAAGCACACUCGGAGGGCCACCAAGGCCUUCACUUCCUCCGCCAAAUCUCAAUCGAGAGAGAUGGUGAGACGGAGAGAAAGAGAAAAGGAGGGAGGGAAAGCCGAUGGAAAGGCCGCCAGAGGAUCUUCGACUAGCCGCUGUGGCAGCCGGACAAUGAAAUCACGGCCUGCGGUGCCGCGGGUGUGAAAUAGGAGUGAUCGCCCCUGUUUCGUGUUUUUUUAAAAAAAUUUCAACCACAAUGAAACCGACACAUCCAUUGCUGGCUUCACUAUUUUUUCGAUUAAAAAACACAAUGAAUAGGGACAGUCAUCCCUGUUCAACAGUCACAGCUCCACCCAUGCAUUUUCCACAGUCCGACAACCACGGAGGCCCCCCCAACACCCUCCAAUAGCCUCUCCACUGGCUACACCUCCCUCUAGUGUAGUCGCUUUUCCUCUCUCGAUUAAACAUCCUAUUGGAUGACGUGGAGCCGCAAAAGCCUCCAUGUUCCUCUGAUGGACUCGACGGGCCAUUGUUGACCAACAACGUCAUCCCCUCUUUCUCUUCCCUCUCUCUCUCUUUCCCUUUUUCUUAUUCGAUGUUCCGAUUUGGCCGACUAAACCGUCCCGAUUUGCAGUCAGUAUGGCUCAUAACAUCCCGAAUCUCUUAGUUCGGAAUGGUUUGGCAAACGCUACCGUGCACAAUGAUAGCCUCUUCUCAGCAUCUGUCAAAUUUCUGGGAGUCUCCACAUGGAGCCCUAUAACAAUUGGAUCGAUGUAGCACCCUACCAGGUCUACAUAAGUUUUUAAUUAAAAAAAUAUUUUAAUAUAAAAUAUUCAGAAUAUUAAUUUUGCUUCAGAUCAAAGUAGCAUCUUAUCAAAGAUACUACAAAUAUUUUUCUCAGCUCGUAGCUAUGCAAACAAGACAACUGAUUUUUCAAAAUUAUUUAAAUUUGUGCCUAGGUCUCUUUGCACAUGAUCAUGCUUAAGUUUAAAUUAUUGCCAAAUUUUGAUAGAAAGUACCAUGCGUACUCCCAAACAUGCUAUCACAUUUAUAGAUUUUUUUAUAUCAUUAUUUUAUUUUUAUUAUUUUUAAUCUAAAAAUUCAUAUACUCAACCAAAAAUUAUGAUUUUGGCUAUACUACAUAGAUCCGUCGUACAUCUACAACAUAUCAUGAAAUCAAACCAAAAUCCAAAUUUUUGUUAUCUUCAUCAUUUUCACUAAUUUUUUGCCAAUAUUUAGCAUGAAAAAGAAAAAAGGAACGGAAGAAGGCCCUUUACCUAUUUUUGGUUUGAAUUUGGACUAAAAUUUGCAAAAUCUGCCUCCUUCCAAUUAUUGUGGGUUAAGAGGUGAAGUGGAGAAGGCAUGAGAGGCCUUCUCUACCUCCCUCUAAAUUAUUAAAGUGGGAGAGAGGGCCAUAACGUUUUCAACAAUGUUUCAUACUGGUCGGUACCGAUGCAUAUCAAGCGUAUCGUACCAAAUCGAUACGCAGAAUAGGAGGAAGAGAGUGUCAAUACGCUUAAUCGGGCUCUAUACUAGGCAUAUCGACAGUAUAAUAGGAUAGUACUAGUAUGAGAUACGGUAUCGAAACGGCGAAUCUUGAACCUGAACCAAGCUGAACCAAAGAAUUCAGCUAGACUCAAGGUUGUAUCGCUCGGUUCAAGCCAGAACCAAGCAAACUGGAUCCUAAUCCUGAAUUGAAACCACAUACAGACAUACCAUCUCAGGUCAUGGGCAGUAUGAUUCAAUACACCCCGAACUGUGUAGUUUAGGGCAAUACAAGUCAGUAUGCCCCAAACUGGGCAGUUCAAGGCAGUAAUGCCUUCCUUGCUUCUAAUUGUACCAUCUCUUAAAUCAAAUAUAUUCCAUUUCACCAACACUGCCUCACUCUUAACAUAUUAAGCCCUACUUCUCCUUAAUACUCUUGGGACUAUGGUAGUCUUACUAAUUAACUUCUUUGUGGAAAUUUCCAUUAGAAACUAAAUUCUUUUAAUUCUUUGCAUGAAUGUAAACACGUAUUUUUUUCUAAGACAGAAGAUAGUUUCAUCAUAUAUUGCAAUGAAGUAUCAUAAUUUAAUGUGUCAAACCUGAAGCAUCUGCAUUAAUUUUGGAUGCUGUUCCAAAAGUUGACAUAGCUUAUCUCGAUCACUUAAGAGAGUCUGUCGAAAACAAACCAAAGAGAAUUCAAAUAAGAAACUAUGUCAGUCAACAUUGCAGAAUAAAUUUCAUACAUUAAAGUCAACCAUAUACAAGACAAACCUGAAUGGCUUCAGGUGAAGAAAAGUACUGCUGCAAAGUCAUUACUGACUCUUUCUGCUGCUGAGGUACACUAUCUACUUGAAGAUUUUGAUUUUGCAGUUGAGCUUGCUCAAGCAUUGGCUGCAGCGGUUGCAGAAGGGACUCCUGCUGCUGGGUUUCAUAAUAAAAUUGUAACUGGGGAAUAUGGAGCUGCUGUGGAAUCUGCAAGGGAUUAACUUGUACUUGGAUGGUGCUUUGUUGAAUUGGCAUAACUUGUUCAGAAUGUGGUUGUGAAACCUGUAUAGGAGGUCCAGUGUGCUGAGGCUGAGGAGGAUGUGGUAGCUGGGGAGGAGGUGGAGGUGGUGGUCGGGGUUGCAUUGAUUGAACACUGAUAUGAGAACUAGGGACAGGCUGUGAAAGAAUCAAUGAGUUCUGUCCAUGUUGCAGGGUAGGUGAACUAAACAAUGUUCCAGGUACAGAAGCCGGCCUACUCAUCAGCAAAGCUGAUGUAAAUCCCGGUAGUGAAUAAGAAGCUAUGCUUGUUUCUGGUGUAGAAAAAAUUCCUAAACUGGUGUCAUUAAUAGGAGUCGAAGGUGGAGUGAACUGGGCUGCAACAGUUCCCUGAUUAUACAAUGAAGCCUGUGAUCCAGAAAGAGUUGUAGGGGAAUGGGUAAUUGGAGUUGAAAAUGGUGGUGGCAGAGGGGGAAGCGGAGGCAGUGGACGAGCAGAUGUAGUGGAAGUAACAGUCUCCAUAUGUAACCUACUGCCUGAAACCGAAUUCCAUGAGAGCUUUGGGUCCAGAACAGGCUGGGCAUUUGAAGAAGAACACUUACCAGUGGAUAAAUAAUUCUCUGACUGAAGCUGCAAUUCAAAGAAAGAAAUUCACUACUUCUGAAAAAAAUGCAGAUGGCAUGACUCAAUGCAACAAAACUGAAAAACUCCAAAAGAAAGGUUUUUCUCUCUUACAUUAAGAGCUCUAACUGUAUUAGGGCCAUUGAAAUCAAAUGCUUGCAGUGGAUAUCCCGAAGGAAGUGGUGGUUGUACAUCUCGGACAAUGUUUAUGUAAGGUGAAGAGUGGCUUUGCACUGGUUCAGCAGUUUGAGACAGCACAGAAGAGAGAGCUGAAGGGGGCAUUAAAGGCAAAGGUGGCUGGCUAUUGGGAAGUUUCUGUUCACCAUACCCUUGAGAUCCAGCAGUUGAACCACCGUCAGCGGUCUUCUGUGGGCUGUCCCUAUGAUAUAGAGUAGAUGGUGGCAACGGUUGAACAGAUGAUGAGCCAGAACAAACACGAACAAAGUGUGAAGGGAAACUAGUAAGAUUUGCCGAGGGCUGUGCAUCAAAACCCUUUGAUCCUGGAAUAGGAGAAACAUAUUUUGACUCCUCAGAUUGCUCGCAUAAGGAUGUCUUGGCCACUGCUGUCAAUCUCAUGUGUUUCUCUGAAGAAAAUUGUUGAGCCACUGGUAUUUCGGACUGAGAAAUAGACCGUCUCAAAUGAAUAUCUGAAUGGGAACCUCCAUCUUCAGAUGCUGGUGGUGUGCCUAAUCGAGAAAAUCGAGAAUUUUCAUUUGCAUCUCCUUCAGUCUCCUCAACUAUUGAACCUGGAGAACUCUCCCCAGUGAUGAGAGACUGGAAAUUAUUUUCAGGUUGAGGAAAUGGCAGUCUAUCAUCAGAUUCUGAUUCCUCAUCAAAGACAAUAUCUAUCUCUUGAUCAUCAUCAAGAUCAGUCUUUAACUGCUGAGGUUUAUCCAACUUAACAGGAACAUUGUCAUUUCCAAGAGCCAAAUUCUUAAUUUGUGAUGCAUCUCCAACCGCAAUACCCAUGGGAUUUUGGCGCUCCCUUUGCCUGGCCAUAAACUCAUCCACAUGAAUUGAUGGAGGCCUUCCACUCAUAGAUGUCCCACGCUGAGAAGAACUAACAAUAUUUGAUCCACUACUUGCACCAUCAAUAUUUCUCUCUCUGGCAACAUAAUCAUCAACAUGCAUGGAAGGUGGUCUGCUUGUGUUAGGCUUCCUCUGACGAAAGGUGUCUCUACGAGCAGGGCCAGAAGCAACAUUGGUUACACUCAACCCUUGAGAAAAUGCAUUUGAACCAAUAGCUUCGGAACCUGUAUUGUCCCGUACACGUCUACCAGAGCCCUCUACUGAUGCCAGUUUCCUCCUUGCAGAUAAAGCCGGCACCGAUCGUCUGUCAAGAGAAGAAUCAGGACAUUCCCACACAAACUUCUCAGCAAAUCCUUCGAGCAAGUAUUGAUUGCCAGCUUUUUCGUCUUCUUUUAAAUUCCAGACAUUUGAAAGCGAUAAUGCAGCAUCAUUGUCUGAUAACAACAUGGUCAAAGAUUGCAUCAACUGGGAUGUCAAAAAAAUGGAUUGAACAACAUCAAUGGAGGAAUGAGAACCUUCACUUAGAACAAUGCCUUCUGACAUGGAUGAUGAACCAGUAAGGCUCUUCAGCAGAAACAACAUGGAAUCUAAAGACUCCUUAACCUGUAAAAUGAACUAACUUCAUCUUCCAAACUCAAAUAAUUAAAACAUGCAAGAAAAGAAAGAAUAAAUCAUACCCUAUGCAAAUCGGUCAUCCCGAUUGUAGUAGUCAAAUUCUCAUCCUCGCUAAUCCUUUGCUCUAAUUUUUGUAUCAAAUCAAGCACAUCAUUUGACUUUUUAUCAGAAGAAAUUGCAGCACCAUCAACAUCAUUCAUAAGCCCAAAAAGGCACUUCAAUAUCGAGAUUCCAUCCAAACUGUUAAGCAAAUAUCAUGAUGUGAUUUAACAUUUGAAAAAACAAUGUGUUGCCAUAUGUUAUUGAAAAACUUAGUCAUCAGGAAAACUAAUGUUUCAUGGACAUCGAUACAAGAAGCAGGUCUUUAGACAUGUGUCCAAGUAUUUGACUCAGCAGGAGGGAAAAGGGAGAUACCAAGAUAUGAUAACACAUAAAUUUAACUAACAUAUAUAUUUAUACCUUUAAACAAUAUGUGUUUAAACAUUAAAAAGAAAAUAUUAAAAAAUAUUGUUUGUUAAGAUCUUUUAAUAUUAUAUGCUUUCCAAACGUCCCAAUCAACUCAAGGAUAAAAGAAACAUAAUACACUGUAAAGUUGUUUCAACACCUACAUCCUAGACCAAUCUUGAAAAAGAACUACUUACGCCUAAUAUCAAAUUAGAGGAUAAAACUCUUGUUUGGAAGAGUUCAACUCUCUUCCAAUCUUUAAAAGUUGUCCAAAGAACUUCACACAUAUCCAAGUAUCCAAUAUAUAUCCAACUAUGACAUGUAUCCAACACUAAUUGUUUGUAUUGGAGCUGGAAGUGAGCGUCCAAGUAACACUAAAAAAAAUUGAUGCUAUCUUGUAAAAUGAUUAAAAAUAAAUAAAUACAAUUCUUAAAUACUUCACAGAAAAAGGUUCAAAACUACAACAAUAUACAAGAGAAUUACAAGAAUAAAUUUUUCUCUGAAUACAUUAUGAAAUUAUAGACAGAUAUCUUAGCCUAGAACAUAAGGUGUGAUGUUAGUUGACCUAAUGGGGAGACCUAACUGACCCCUGGCAUAUAUUGCACAGGUUAGUAAUUGGAGCAAUUUGUUUCUUUGAUCAGUGCAAUGACUGCACAAAAGAAGCAACAGAAACCAAAUCCUACCUGGUAUAUAUUGCACAGGUUAGUAAUUGGAGCAAUUUGUUUCUUUUAUCAGUGCAAUGACGGCACAAAAGAAGCAACAGAAACCAAAUCCUAGAUGUGCCCCUAUGCUGCUCUACAUCCAUCCAGAACAUGGAGGAUUUUUUUAACUUUCACUAUUAGGACCAACUUUUUAAAUACAUCAUCAAUGUAUUACACCUCUUAGACCAAAACAUGACCUCAUUACAAGAUACUUCACAAUAAGAGUUGAAGAUCUGAGCAAGGGGAACAUGCCAAGGCCAAGGAAUGGAAAAGGGCAAAAAAGAUGAUCGCAUAAUCAGAGAAAAAAUGAAAAAAAAUAAAAAUAAAGAUAACAGAUGUACAAGACACCCAAAAACAGAUAUCCUGCUUCAGGCAGCUGCAACUUGGCAGUAGAGGAAAAAGCAUACAGAAGAAACAUUUUAUCCUUGCUGUAGUAAAUCUUUCUGCCCAAAUAUUCUGAAAUCCUAACAUGGAAUACAACAGGCAAGACCGGCAGUCGGAAGGUAAAGACUUAUCUCAUAUACUGUAUAACUGUAGCCUUUCUGAAACCACACCAGCACUCAACUCGGAUUACUUGGCAUCCCAUGGAAAAUUUAUAUCAAUAGGCCAGAUCUAACCUCAAAAGUUGUAAGGACCAUAUGUAAAUUGCUAAAGGUAUGACAUUGAAGCACUUUCCAUUAUCAAAAAUGAUUUAAACUAUUUCCAAAAUCAAACCUACAACUCUAUCACAAAAAUUAUUCACCAAUUAAAUCCAUAUGGGAGGCAAAGGAUAUAGAAAAUCGUCAUAACUUGACAACAAAAAUGUCGCUAUGCAAAGAUAGUUCUCUUAUAGAACAGGCCAACAAAAAAAUUAUCAAGAGAUAAUGUUUUAAAGAUUUUUUUUAAUUUAACAAUAAAGCAUUUCUCUUGUUCAAAUUGAACAAAACUGGAGUAUAAGAAAAAAACCUGCAGAUAGCUAACCCAGCAUUUCUUUUGUUCAAAUUGAACAAAACUGAAGUGUAAGAAAAAAAAGCUGCAGAUAGCUAACCCAGCAUAAAUCUUUUUCUUUAAUGUAUCGUUACAAUAUUCUAGAAUGCCCAAGUAAAUAAUACCAGCAUUGCAUCAGAAUUCAUCAGCUUUUCAUAUUUUUAUUAAUCCAGCUCUCUUCAACUGUCUAAUUAAUUUCAAAAAAAAGUAGGUUAAUCACUUUCUGUAUCAGGUUCAAGUUCGUGGCUGUUAGGAGUCAUGUAAGUGGAGCUCCAUGCAGCUCAAGUUACACAUGUGGGCCAACCCUCUUGUUUGGAUGCAUACAACCCAAAUUGCACUAUAAAUUGAGUUUCUCAUUGGUCUACAAUACCGAGCUAUCUUGUGGUAGGUAAACUCAUGGUUAGAACGUCCAUAAGACGAGUUGCAGCGACAUAGAUAAGUAUUUUAAUUAAACAAAAAAGGGAUUUUCUUUCUAUUCCAUCUCAACUAGGUAUCUUAUUUUUUCCCAUUUUUUUUUUAAAAAAAGCUCCUCACCACCAACAGCUUCAAUGCUGACCUCUUCUAGAACACUUAUACCUUGAUGUAUGUCGAGUGCACUAACCUGGUGUCCACUUGCAAGGUGUUCGAUGGAAUGUCCAUCAGAGAUGCUCUUUUCCAAAAACUCUCCUCCAAAUACAAGAAGUGAGCUUUCUUAUUAGUCAACUACUGCAACUUUAAGUUGCAAUGUAACUUAAGUUGCAAUGCAAUUUCAACUCUAGGGCUCCAAACAGCCCUUUUUUUGUUGUCAAUGGCAAAAGCAUACCUUCAUUUUUUUAUUCAGCCAUGUGACUUCAAUCCUUACUCUCUAUAUAGUUUCUUCCAUCUCAACCAAAAUCUGCUACUUGGCAUUUGAGUAUGGCAAAAUUGUAAAUUUUAAACAAUGUAGCAUCUCCUUGUACUCUAUAUUGUAGACACUGAAGAAGAUAAUCUUCCAAGGAUGAGCAGGAACAUCUUCUAUAUAGCUUUUUCAGAGUUCACAAAAGCGAUUCGGUACCCAUAGAGGCACCAUGUUGGCGCAUUGCCAGUAUGCAUCAAUUUUGUGUGGUGACACUCUACACCCUCCAAACCAAGUAUUGGUUCAGUAUCGAAACAAUACGGUGUGCCUGGUAAGGUGUGGUAUACCCAGCAUGAUGUGGUAAACUCUGAUAUGAUGAACUUGGGUUUUUGUUUAACCUUCACCAGCCCAUGUUUCUUUUGGACGUAUUAUGUUGAUAAACCUUAUGUAAAAAGUAACUCAUCAAUUUUUAACAAAGAUAUCGAGAUCUGCAAAGGACAAUCACAUAUUCUAAAUAUGCAAUGUAAAGAGACCGUGAUCCACCUGGCCACUAGCCAAAAGUGUAGGAUCUAAUCCAGCAAAGAUCAAGGACACCAACAAACCAAAUUAUAACAAGUUGCCCAGCUAAUGGAACAGCAGUUCAUGAGAAUCUUAAAAGCACGAAUCCAGUAACCACUUCUAGAUCCAACACCUAUUUGAUGUAGAUAACUUUGGCUACAGUUUGUACAUAUCAAGUAUCUGAUCAGAUAAGUAUCAUAAACAGUUCUAAAUAGAAAAUGAAGUGUGGUUUGAGAAUGGGAUGAACAUCAUGGUUCAGCAAUCAUUGCUCUUUAAGCGAGCAUAUGCAGCAUGCUCAUACAAAUAAUAUUCUAAGUUAUUCCACCUAAUUUUAUGAUUUCACACCAUUUUUUUAUUCUAGCAUUCUUAGUCCAGAACAUUCUAAAAUGUUAUGUAUAUGAAGGAACAAAUGCUUAAAUUUAGUUUCGCCACAAAGUCGAUGGAAAUGAGACUGCUGGAGAACAACUUGAAGCACUCCUAAGAGCAUAUAAACAUGUAAAAGUUUCUAGCUUUUUAAUUUAAGUGUAAUAUGCUCUGCACAUAGGUGAGCUUUACACACUAACCAUCUCAAUAUUGAAUACUUGCUACAUCUAAGAACAUGGCAAAUGUUGCUACAUGCACAUCCAUGAUAAAUAAGCAGCACACAUGUUCAUGACAGGGUUUAUUAUUUAUUUAUGCAACAAAGGAAGAAUUUAGAUCAAAACCCUUAGAAACAAGAAAAUGAAAAGGUCUAAAAUCAAAUAUGCACAUAAACUCCCUGAUGCUAAAGAAUAUAUGCCAUCUAAUUUCAAGAAGAUGGGAGUAUAAGGACCAUUGAGACAUUCAUGUUCUCUGAAGUAAUCAUCCUUGAUCAAAUCUCAAGAAACCUUGCAGUUCCUUGUGCAAAGCAGUAACUAUUGCCGAACACUGAAUCAUAACCCUAAGAAGCUACCAUUGGUUUCAAUGUGAAAUAUGUCAUCUCUAAUCUGUAUCUAAAUAACAUUCAUACCUUCUUUUUACUUCACACAAUAAUAUAAAAAAUACAGUUUGUGCUUCUCCAGCCAUAGUUUCGGAAUUGAGGUACCUCACUAGCAUCUUUUCCCUUUUCUCAACCCAAACUACUGUAGCUACAAAUGAAAUGAUCUUCCUUGAGAAAAAAAUAUUUCUAUAUCAAAUUAAAUAGCAAAAUGUUUCAGAAUGCCUGUGCAAAAUCAUAAUUGCCUCCACAAAUCAAGAUUAAAAAAAUUCAACUUUUAGUCUUCCCUAUAACUGUUCUUUGUAACAAAUAUACUGAUGUUAGCGAUCAUCAGUAUUUCCUCUAUGUAAAAUGGACAAACCAAUCUGAUUCAUCAAGUAAAAUUAUUACACUUUAACACAAGCUUCCAUAAUGGUGAUAUAACUAUCUAAAAACACCUACAAACAUUCUCUUAUCCUAAAAAAAUAACAGAAGAAAAGUGAAAAGGUUAGAAUUUCAAGAAAAAACUUAGUUCUCUGUUUAACAAAAAUAGUACAAGAAAUCCAGUCUUUCCCUCUAUGCAGUGAAGCUAGGAUCAUUGGUAAAUCUUGCAUAUACAAAAGCAAAAAGUGUAUCUGGUGAAGUUUAGAUGAUGUAAGAACACUAUACUGGUAAAAAUGAUGUUAUGAAACUAAAUAUAAUCAAUCUAUCGAAAUGACAUGCUUUCAAUAUUGUAUAAGAGGAAGGUAGGUUAGCAAAGAAGAAGAAAUUCAACUUACGCAUCACUAUCCCUGUAAAGAGACAGAGCACUCAAAGACAAUGCAUGAGCUAUUUCAACUACAAAUGUCAGAGUACAGUCCUUCAAUUCCAGGGAUCUCAAAAGCUUCUUGAAGCAACUUAAGAAGGGGGGAGGCCACCUCCAGUCAUACUCAGUUGAAGUGGUACUAUCACCAUAUCUCUCAUCUCGCUCUGUUUGCUCAAGAGUAAAAGAUUGCAUUUUUGAAAAGAGGGAAGCAAGAGCACUUCUACCCGGACUGCAGGAAGUUAGUUCCUUGAAAGUCACAAGACAUGCCAACAAUUCCUUCCCAACUGGCAGAACCUGAUAAGAACAACUUUAUCAAUCAUGAUUGAGGAAAACUAAAUUAAAGGAAGAAAAAAUGUUCAAGAGUUAGCCGAAACAAUGAGCAAAUGAAAAGAAGGUCAAGGUAAAAUGAGUACUCUAUAAGAGACGAACAAUUGACUGGCAUAUCAAAUCAUGGAGAUAUGCAAAAGAUGGUCACUGCCCACUGCCUAGCAGCCAAAUGUUUUGACCAUCAUAAAUAAGGAGAAACCAUAUCUCAUCAUUCUAAAGUACAUUGUUGUUCACAAGAAUGAUAGCAAAACAAUGAGGUCAAUUUAUUCUUAAAAACAAAAACAUUAAACUGUUUCCAUACUAAGAACUAGUGUUAAAAUUGAUCAUGCAAAUGAAAUAUUUCAUCAUUUUGUGCAGAACUGACAGCAAAUAACAAUGUUACAACUUACAAGUGUAGAAAUAGGUUGUGCCAAGGAACAAUAAUCGUUUUAGUGCAUGAAUGCUAGCAAUGACUAUUGACAUAAUCCAUACAUAAACUAGUUGUCAGUAUUUAAACCUUUAAACGGUCGAAGGAGCAACAAGAAUCCACAGUAAAUAAAGUAAUAACAAACAUUUCACUAUUAAAAAAUGUGUUAAUAAUUAGCAGUUUAAAUUUGGAAACAAGUAUGCAUUCUGAUGAGAAAUUGAUGAGCCAUGAAAAGAAAAUGACAAAGUUCCUCCCGAAUUAGUUAUUAACUAAGAAAACAAGUUCACCUAUCUAUAAACAACAGCAAUUAUGGUGAACAAAUAUAUCUAAUUAUUACGUCCCAUUUGAUUUAUCCGGAUUUCCUGUACUUUUCAAUGUAUGCAUUAUUAGUUUAUUAAAAGAUUUCAUAUUUUCUUCAUCUAUCAGGCAACCAGUAGAAAGAAGCCUUUUUUUCUAUCAUAUAUGCUAAUUGGCCUGAUUAGGUCUAAUUAAAGAAAAAAAGUAAUCAACUAAUGUUUCAAUAAAAAUAAAUAUUCUGUUAUCUCAUAUCAAGCCUAGUAGUUCUGUUGGUAUUAAACAGUAUAAUGUCUUACUCCAUGCAUGUAAUAUGUUUCUUCUCACUACCCUUUGCCUUUUGCAUUAGAUACGUUAAACUUAGCUUGAUGUUUUAGUUUGGACUUAACAUUACUAACACAAUAGUAAAUCGCAUUAGCUUCUUGCAGAUCCUUCUCACGACAAAACUUCGAAAAUAAACAUAAGAAUAAAGUAUAGAAUUUUCCCCUUCCAACAUUUAAGACCACCAAUUUAAAGUUGCAAGACGAAUGCCUCAGCAAUGGGAAGCACCGAUCUCAACCUUACUCACCUGCUGGCAGAAUAAAAAAGGAUAUAUAUAUAUAUACUAUAUAUAUAUAUAUAUAUAUAUAUAUAUAUAUAUANNNNNNNNNNNNNNNNNNNNAUAUAUAUAUAUAUAUAUAUAUAUAUAUAUAUAUAUAUAUAUAUAUAUAUAUAUAUAUAUAUAGGGGUGCCAGUGCCUUAGGAUCUUCCAGAAGUUGGAUUUUUUUUUUAGCUUCUAGCAAUUAGCGUGUGAAUAAAAGAAAAAUGACUCUGAAUCUAUUCAUGUAACAGAAAAUGCUCCUCGAACAUUUAACUUCCUCCUAAACUUCUUUGUGAAUAAACUAGAUCUAGACGAAAAUAAAUUUGGGACAAGGACAUUUACACCAACUAGACUGCCAUGCUAACUUUAUCCCAACUAGACUGAGCUGUGUUAAACACUUGGACAGUAAACAUAUUUAGUUUGGUCACAUUGACCAGCUCCAAUUUUCUAUAACCAGAAUUUAUCCUGUUAUCUGAAUGAGUCUGGAUUUAGAAUUAUAAUACAAUGCAAAUGAUAAAAAUACACAUCCAAGUGAUGUUAAAUUGGCUAGCGUGGCUAGUGUACAGUUAACCUAAUCAACAGUGCUGUAAAAUCUUCAAAAAACACAGAACACAAAAUGUAAGAAUGCUCAAACCAAACAGAUUACAAAAGCAAUUGUAGGAUACCAUUUGGCCAAGAUGGUUAGUAGUCUUUAUCAUCCACUUUUAUUCAUAAAUAAAAAAACAACUUUUGAGAGAGGCACAUACCAUAGCUUCCAUGCACAGCUCUAAGAAGCAGCCAACGUGCAGGCAUCAAAGGUCCUACUUAGCAGUUUGGUGGUGUUUAGGCAUACAGGUGAAAGAAGAUGAAAAGGGCAGGAAAACAGGUGGUGGAGGCAGAAGAAAGGAGGCGAAGGUGGGGAAGAGGAGAACUAUGGAGAAAUGAACAAGGUGGAGGACGAAGAGGAAGAGGUCUGACCAGAUGGAGAAUGAGGAUGAUAGAAUGAACAAGGAAAGGUGGUGAAGCACGAUGAACUAGGAGAGUAUUUAUGAUCAAAUUUUAACCUAUUAUUUAAACAAAUUUUUAAAUCAAUGAUAUUGUUUCUAAUUAUAGAUCAUCUAAGUAGUAGGUGAUUGUCAUUCACAAAACAGUGGCAUAAGAUUUAACUUCAAUUAUCUUUGAGGUGAAAAUAUACACCCCAAAAGAAAUAAUUAUGCCAACAUAUUACAGAGGGCAAAUCAUUACUGAUCCAUUCCUGCAGUACAGUCUAGGAAAGCUUAUGUUGCAACAAAUGAGCGAGUUCAGUCAUGCAACAAAUGAGUUCAGUCAUAAGAAUGAGUCAUUUCCCUGCUCAAACACCUAUGAUGCACCCCAACAUGCUAUAUAUGAAUCGUAGCAGUCCAGCCCAAUCGCCAAGAAUGCACCUAUAUGCCCCUGCCCAGCACCUGUUUCAGAUUGAACACAUAUGACACCCUUUGGUGCUUGCAACCAACCAAAUCCCUUGGGUCAACCGCAACGCUCAUGCACAACUCCAUGCCACAGAAAAACUCUUCCUAACAGUGCUCCACAACACCAGGCACUUUUGUGCCAUUCUAAGACUUUGUGCCAUUCUAAGACUUUUGUGCCACAGAAAAACUCUUCCUAACAGUACUGCUCACCCAGACAGCACCUUGUCUAAAGCCUUGAAAUCUAUGAACAACCCUUUCCAGCCCCGAAAAUCCAAUUUUGGUGAAACAUCUAACGAUUCAAGGACGAAAAGAAACAGAAGUGAAAAGAUGAAGAAAGAUGAGGUGACCGGAGAAAGAAGGCUCAGUUUUUGUAUUUUCCUCCCCUAGUUCUUUUUUAUUUUUAUUCCUCAGCUUCCUCUACAUAUUGUCUGGCUCUUAUACUCGUUAAUACUGUGAAUGCUGCCUAUCAUAUUUCAAAGCUAACUUGCAUUCCUGUAGAUGCUAAAUAGGGCACUCUAUUGCCAUGCACACCACCUGUUCAUUAAAUUGCUAGUCCAUAUCCAAUGUAAACUGGUUGUGUGUGCAGCCCAAAUCAAGCUCCCAUAUGCAUUCAAUACACAUCAUAUGCACAGCCAACUACAACAUAACCUGACUCCCCUAUGAGGCCCAAAUUUAGCCUUAUAUGAUGACCAAGUUGAACUCUGCACAGCCCAAGUCCAGUCCCUAGUACACCCAAAACUGAAUCUGUGUCAGCAGCCUAGAUACAGACCAAACUGCUCCUAUUGGUAGCUCAACAGCAUCUCCAGCACACAAAUCAUAGUCAACUAUAAGACAGGCUCGUUUACCGCCAAAAUCAGUCUAUAUAUGCAAUCCUCAUCCACCUCGAAAACAGCCAUCAUUUGCAGCACAUUUCUAGCUCUAACUUACAGCCCAAAAAACAGUCAAUGCUCGCAGCCCAGACAGUCCUCUUUGAUCCCUCCAGAGCAGUCAAAAUGCAGUCCAUUUAUGUUGUCUAAAAGGAGCCCAGUGUCGCCCAGAUCUACUCCUAAAAACUGGUCAUACACAAUCCACUUAUGCAGCAGCUUACAAUAGUUCAUGUGAGCUGUUCAAAAGAUAGUUCAAUUACAGUUUAGGCCUAUUUCCAAUGUGGUCUUACGUCCUAACAGAUUUGUGGCCAUAUUCCUUCAGGCUGUCCUAACCUGAAACCACAAGAUGCAAGCAAUGGGCCUAUAGCCAUGUGCCUUCAAGGUGGUUUAACCCAAAAAGGAUACAUUUCAAGAAUAGGUCCAUAGCCAUAUGCCUUCAGAGUCGCUUGGUCCAAAUAAAUGAAACUCCAAUAUUGGAGCUUGCAACCAUAUACCUUCAGGGCAUCUAGCCCAAAAGGAAAUUUUCAAGAAUUGGUCCUUUGUUUGUAUGCAUUUGGGGUGGCUUAAGCCCAAAAGGAGAAUCAAGAACGGGUCCACAGCCAUAUGCCUUUGAGGGAGCCUAGCACAAAAGGAAAAUUUCAAGAAUGUGCUUAGAUCCAUAUGCCUUCAGGGUGGCCUAAUCCGAAAAACUAAAAUUUCAAGGAUAAGCCUAAGCUGUGUCCCUUCACGGUAGCCUAGUUCAAAAGGUUCAACUUUCAAAAUUGGAUCCAUUUCCAUACAUUCAGAAGUGGUCCUCAAAAAACAGCAUAGCCCUCCAAGUCUUCAAACUAAAAAAUAACGUGGAUAAGUCUAAGAUAAACACUAGGUCUCUAAAUUUGGGAUGUGCCCCUCAUUAAGCCAUAUAAAUUAGAUUGGACAACAAUAAAAUUACAUUUUCAAUUUAAUUUUCUUAGCAUUUUCUUUAAGUAUCUGAAUUGGAGAUGCCUGAUUAAUAAAGUGUAAUUAUUAGGGCUCUGAAGCUUGCCAAAAGCCAUGGACCCACAUAAACAACAAGCCUUUUUUUGCAAUUUGAUGAGAUCAACUUCUAAAAUUAACCGGCAAUUCCUCAUCUCUCUAGACCCCAAAACCAUCACCAGGGCAUAUUUGUGAUCCCAUAAAUUCUAGCACGCCUGAUAAGACUUGGCUUCUUCUCCCUUUCGUGAGAUCUCAAGAACAAUGCAAAAAGUAAAGGAAAACAUUUAUUGAUCGAGUUUUUUAUUCAACAAGAGAAGUUUCACUCAAUCAGUAAUCAUUGUGUAUGCUAGGAGGAUGUCCAUUGCUGCUACACCAGCAACCCAACCAACACCAUCUGCUUGUGGUCCAUGUUUCAUGUUUGCAUGUCACAAAGUAACAUUGAGGCAGGUAAUGUUUAAGCUGCAAUUAGGGUUGAAAUCAUCCAUGACAUAGCCCACUCCUGCUACUGCAACUACCACUUGCAUAUGCAGAAGUAAGGAGGUUGUCCCUACUCAAAUUCCUACUGGGGGCAAUAUUAUCAUGGAAGCUGUUGUUUAUGCUACAAUUAGUCCACAUCUGCCAUCAAGGUAUAAGAGGCCAGAUAUGAUUAUGCCUGUGCCCUCAAGCAACACUCCACCACUCAAAGGUUGUCUACUUUUCAUAGGUUAUGCCCACUAACUUCGACAUCCAUGAGGACAGUUUGUUGCAACAUCAUUGGCUUAAUAAAUACUAGCCCAUUCACUUUUACCACAGAAGACAUAAACAGUGAAGUUUCCAAAAGGUUCUCCUAUGCUACGAUCACUCAGAACAUUGCAAGGAAGUUCAUGAAAGAAGACAUAACGAUAUUCAUCAUUGCACUUAUGCAAAUGACAACUCUGCUGGGGGUUCAGAGUGUUCUAGAAAACAAGUUCAUCAAACCCAUGAUGAUUGCCAAACCAAUUUUUUUAUGGCCAAUUCAUAUGAUCCAUUGAAAUAUGUAAAAAAGAAUGCUACCAUUGUGAAGUAUCGUGACAUCCCAUCAGGCUCUACUCAUUUUUCUCAAUUCACUUACUGCUACCACUACAAAUUUCACAGGAAAUGUAAUAAAAGUUUACUCUUGAAGACAAGCUCUAGCUCCAGCUCCCCUCACAUACCAUUUCCAACAAAAGGAGUUUACUGAGAACAGAAUCUAAAACCCUACAGCAAUUAUCAGCCUACUCAAUUCCAAAGCAUCUAGCUUGUUAUUGAGCAAAGUAUUCCUGUCGACAAACACUAAGGUCCAGUCAAGGUGGACUUCACUAGAAAGAUUUAAAAUCAUGGUCUUGCAGUUGUCAAGAAAAAAGCACAUGGAGGCAAUAAAGUUGUAGAAACCCAAGUCCAAGCAUUAAAAGCCAAUGAUAUCUCUUUGGCCAUUGACAGCUUGGUAGCCUCUUCAUAUUAGUCAUCAUUUCUUCAGUAGCAAAUAAACACAAAUUGCAGGAGAGCUUUUGCCACCUCAUUUGUUAAAUGUUGCUUACCACCACAAAUAAAGAAGGGUCAAGAACACUAUGAAUUCAAUGUCCUUUUUCUUUGAUGAUAUUAUCACAAACCGAGGGAAUGAAAGGUGUUUUACCAUAGCCAAGACGAGGAUUCUAGGGGGUGAUUGCUAAGUGCAAUGGUAAAAGGGUUGGGAUUGCAAGCACAUCGCAUGGGAUGAAGUCUUGGGGCACAAUAUUUGUACAAAAAAAAUACCAAAAAUUAGGUCUAUGACCAAUCUGCUCCUCCCACGACACUAGAUUGUUGGGACCAUGGUUCGCCGAAUCGGCCUGAACUGAACGGUUCAAGGCGUGUCGAACCAUACCGGCGGCCCUUCGGUGCGGUUCGGUUGUUGGAUUCAGAACACCGACGAAAACGAAGUGAGGGAGAAAGAGAAGAAGAGAGGGAGAAGGGGAGGGAAAGAGAGGGGAAGGCUGGCGGUGGCCCACCGAGGCCGUUGGAGGCACAGCCGAAGCCUCCCAGGCUCCGCAGUCUUCCAUGAGAGACUGAGAAGAGAGAUGGAGAGGGAGAAAAGGAGAGAAGAGAGGGAAGGCAGGAGGGAGACCAUCGGAGGGCCAUUGGGUGGCCAUCAUGGCCGUCGGGCAGCCUAAGAAACCCCCAUGGGGUUCGAAAUAGAGACUUCACUCCUGUUUUGUCGGAUUUUUUUUUUUUAAAAAUAGACGAAGUGAAGCCAGCAAUGGAUUUUUUACUCGACAACCUUCCUACUGUCUUCUCUUCCCUCCUCUCCCCUCCUCUCUUUAUAUCUCUCUUCUCAAUUUCUCUCGCAAAGGACCACGAAGCCCAGGAGGCCUCGACAACCCUCCAACAGCCUCCCAACCCUUCGGUGACCACCACAAGCGUCUCCACCGACCAUCCGUUCCCUCCCUCUCCCUCCCCCCUCUCUCUCUUUUCCUACUCAAUUCAUCUCCUGUUUUCACAUCGGUUUGGAUCCGGUACGGUCCGAUACGAGAGCAUACCAACUCGUACUGCCAACCAACCAAUACGAGGUUCGAUUUCGAAUCGACGAUCCUUGGUUGGGACCAUAAUUGGGUAAUGGUCAAAGAGUGGAUUUUCAUCUCAAAUGACAUCUCAAAAGCAAAGCAUGUACCAAAACAUUAUUUGCCUGCCAAAUUAGUAUUGCGACAAUCAUCCUUCUCAAAUCUUAAGCCAAGUCCUAGAUGGCUCUUUUAACAGUUUUAAAUGGGAUUCAAAAUUUGACUUCUUUAAGGGUUACAUUGCAUAAUAGACCCUCCCACCCACUCCUUGAUGGAAAAUUGUGGACUUAUAUUACAAUCUUCAUAAGAUCAAUAUAGCCUUACCGUUUAGCUUCAAAAGAUAAGUUUAAGGUGAUUGUAGAACUUCAUAGCAUUUAUUCAAGCAGAGGAUCAACUUCUCCAUUCUUCUUAGUUUGUGGUGGGCAAUUACUUCAAAGAAUAACAAAGAAAAAAGAUUGUUAACAAGCUUGAAGCACUUAAGCUUCAUUUGGCUUGGAAGCCAAAACUUCCCUCGAGUGGCAUGUUGUGACAUUCUCUAUUGAGCUUACCAUCCAAAACAAACAAAUAGUUGAGGGGCAACCUAUUGCUAAUAAAACCUUCAAAUGGAAAACAAAUUAAACAUCCUUCGUUGCUAAGAAUACCUAGUCUUUAACACUCAGGUCAAGGAGAAAAUUACUUCUAAAUUAAACAAUUCAUUGAGCUCUGGGAUCCAUUAUACCUUGGCUAAAUUUGGCAGUUAAGUGGAGGCAGCUAUGAACAAGAAGUUAUUAUGUCCUUUACUACAUCCUUGGAACAAUUCAUAUGCUAGCUGGAUAAGUGAUUGUUAAGAAUAAAACAUAUGUGUUGGACUUUAAGUUAUGUGGGCCUGUAGGUAGUCCACUUAUUAGUGGUUUAUGUUGAGUAGGCCUUUAGGCCCUAUAUGAUGUCUAUAUAUAUGUAACUCAGGUCAAGUUAAUUAAAUAAAAUCAUUUUUUUCUUCACUUCAACAACAUGGUAUCAAAGCCAAAAACCUAACCCUAGCCAAAGCAAGCUGUCGCCGCCCCUUUCUUUGUUUAGCCGCCAUCUCCUUGCCGCCUUCCAUCAUAUUCUAUCUGCCAAAAAAAAACCCUAACCCUCCUUGCUGCUGCUCCUGAUAUCCUUGCCGCCACCCCCUUUCUCUAUCCAACCGCCAUCUUCUUGCCGCCUCCCAUCAUCUGAUUUCCUUGCUACCACAUCUCUCUCCAUCCAGCCGCCACUAAAAGGUGUGUUUGACAUUCCCAAACAAUCCUAAAAGGAUUGGGAAGGAGAUCAAGCACUAGAUCUGCAUCUUUGCAGCCCUUGCCGACCACCAGAUCUGCACCAAUUUUGCCCUGGAACCAGAUUUGCAGAUCUGCCAUACCGCCAUCCAGUUCAGCCCUUUUACAAUCUACUGCUUGUGUCUUUAUGUGUUUACUGGUUUGUGCCUCUCAGUUCAGAUUUCUUGCAAUGAUUGUGGAGUUUGCUUUGAUGGGAUGUAGGUUGUGUGAUGAUAACCUAUGGAUUAGGAGUCUCAAGUAGAGAUGAUUGGGCUAAUCCCAAGGUGUUUGUGGUAGCAUGAUGCGAGUUGUGGAGGUGUAAGGGUGUAGUUUGUUGUGUUACAUUUUGGAUUAAUUGAAAUAGUGCAGUGUUUUGAAUAAUGGCAUCAGGAGAGGGCCCUAAGAGUGUUAAAGUGGUAUCCUCACAUCAGAAAUUAAUUGAUGUGAUGCUAGCUGGUGAUAGAUCCAAUUUUAUGGAAUGGCGUUUUCUUGUCAAGGUCAAUGUUAAAGGACUUAGCAAGGAAGAACAGCUUACUGAGUUAUAUCCUGAGGGAGAAAGGGAAGUCAAACUGUGGCUGGCUAAAGAUAAGAGUGUUUUCUCAGAUUGUCAAUUGCAUUGAUAGAAAGAUGACUCUCUCAAUGCAGCAUGUUACGACGGUGAAAAAGCUGUGGGAGUUAUUGCAUCAAUAUUUUUCUAGGACUAGAAAUAUGAAAAGAUUAUAUAGUUUAGCUCAAAAGGUGAGUCAUCUAAGUCAAAAUGGACGAAGUAUCAUGGAGUAUUACUAUGAGUAUAAACGAGCCACAGAAGAUUUUUGUACGGCAAUGCCGAUCUCCACUGAUGUAGCUAUGAUGGAGCAGCGUGAGAGACUAUUUGUAUUUAGUUGGUUGUCUGAAUUGGAUACAAAGUAUGAGGUGAUUCGAUCACAGUUGUUAGCCAACAAGGAUGUGGAUUCUUUGUUCAAUGUUGUCACUACUGUACUCAGUGCAGUCCAAGAGAGUACCUUAGGUACUAAGGAUAUAUCUGAUGGAUCUGCCCUUGUAUCUCAGAGUAAUGAUGGUGGUGGAUAUAGAGGGAGAGAUGGAAGAUGGGGUGGUAUUAAAGGAGGACGUGGUGAUAGAGGAUAUAGUGAUCCUGGGAGCCAAAGGGUAUGCUAUAAUUACGGAGAACCAGGAUAUUUUUAUCAUCAAUGUCCUAAACCUCUACAGGCACAGCGGAUACAGUCUCAGUAUCAGGCACCCAGAUUUGCUCAUACUGUAUCACAUCCAGUUGAUUCAAUUACUCAUUACCUCGAGGACCGGACCAUAGUCAUAUCUGAUGAGGAGUUUGCCAGGUACACCUAGUUUCAACAGUCUCAGCAAUCGACAUCCUCCUCUAAAGCUACUCUAGUCAAAACAGGUAAUCCCGUCGCCUACCUUUCAUCCUCAUCCCGAUACUGGAUCAUUGACUCAUGUGCCACCGACCACAUGACAAGUGAUCAAGGUAUCUUAUCCCAUUAUAAACCAUCUGAUGAGUGCUUUAAUGUAACACUAGCAAAUGGAUCCACUACCAAAGUCUUAGGUAGUGGAGAUACAUCCAUUACCUCUUCGCUACUCUUGUCUUCUAUUUUAUAUCUUCCUAAAUUUUCUUUUAACUUGAUAUCUGUUAGCCAAAUCACUAAAGUCUUAAAUUGUUGUGUUACAUUUUUUCUGGCUACUGUUUGUUUCAGGAUCUAUCGACUCGGAAGAUCUUUGGUAGGGAAAACGAGUCAAACGGAUUGUAUCUGCAGGAUGAGGUUGCUACUACUAUCCCAUCUGUUGUUACACCUACCAUCAGUUCUGACAUCUCUACAUUCCAGCUUCAUUGUCCCCUUGGUCAUCCAUCUCUAAAAGUCUUAAAGAAAAUGUAUCCUGAGUUAAGUUCUGUAACUAGUUUAUCUUGUGAGUCAUGUGAGUUUGCUAAACACCAUCGGAUGUCAUAUCCUCCAAAAGUAAAUAAACGAGCCUUGUCCCCUUUUGAUCUAGUACACUGAUGUCUGGAAUCUAUGUCCUGUUACUUUCAAGUCUAGCUUGCGAUAUUUUGUAACUUUUGUUGAUGAUUAUUCAAAAAGUAUUUGGUUAUACCUAAUGAAAUCUCGAUCUGAGUUGUUUUAUACUUUCUCUACUUUUUGUUCCGAUAUUCGUACUCAGUAUAAUUACAAUAUUCGUAUUCUUCAUAGUGAUAAUGCCAAAAAAUAUUUUUCUAAUCAAUUUAACACCUAUAUGACAUAGAAUGGCAUUAUCCAUGAAUCAUCAUGUGUUGUUAUCCCUCAACAAAAUGGAAUAGCUAAGAGGAAGAACUGUCAUCUCAUAGAAGUUGCUAGAGCCUUAAUGUUUCAAAUGAGAGUACCUAAAAUGUUUUGGGCAGAUGCAGUUUAUACUGCUGCAUUUCUCAUAAAUCGCAUGCCGUCCUCUGUUCUUAAUGGUCGUGCAACUUAUAUAGUUUUAUUUCCUACCCGAUCAUUGUUUUCCAUUCCUCCAAAAACAUCUGACUGCAUUUGUUUUGUAUAGGACAUGAGAUCCCAGAUCAGUUAGUUGGAUCCUCGAUCACUAAAGUGUGGCUUUUUUGGAUUCUCCCGUACACAAAAAGGAUACCAAUGUUAUUCUCCUAUGUUAGGUCGAUAUCUUGUCUCUCGAGAUGUCACCUUCUUUGAAUCGAAUCCUUUCUUUGCUAGUCCCUCUCCUUCUACUUCUGAGAUAGAGUCUAUAGAGGACUUUCUGAUCUACACAGUCAGUUAUCCCACCUCUACUGCUUCAUCUGAUCCACCUCGUCCUCCCAUUACUUAUGUCUACACCCGUCGAGACAAACUUCUCCAAUCAGAUGUUGCAGGUCUUUAACCAGCAGAUCCACCAAUGGCUAUCUCAUCCCUACCAACUUUCGCAUUGUUUGAUUCUGAUCUUGAUCUACCUAUUGCUCUCAGAAAAGACAAAUGCAAUUGUACCCAUCCUAUUUCAACCUUUGUUUCCUAUAACCAUUUAUCACAAUCAACCCACUCCUUUGUUACCUCUCUUGAUUCUAUGACUAUUCCUAAGACACUAGAUGAGACAUUGUCACACAAUGGCUGGAGGACAGCUAUGGAGGAAGAAAUGUCAGCUCUUGAGGCUAAUGGUGCUUGGGACUUGAUUUCUAUACCAUCAGGUAAGCGUAUUAUUGGGUGUAAGUGGGUAUAUGUGGUGAAGAUGAAGACUGAUGGUUCUGUUGAUAGAUUGAAAGCUCGUUUGAUAGCUAAGAGAUAUAUCUAGACUUAUGGUGUAGAUUAUACUGAUACUUUCUCUCCUGUGGCUAAGAUGACAUCUAUUUGAAUAUUUAUUUCCUUAGCUGGUGCUAGUUGUUGGCCCAUAUAUCAGUUAGAUGUCAAGAAUGCAUUUCUUCAUAGUGACUUGCAGGAAGAAGUGUAUAUGGAGCAACCCCCUAGAUUUGUUGCUUAGGGAGAGUAUGGUAGGGUAUGCAAAUUGAAAAAAUCAUUAUAUGGGUUGAAGCAAUCUCCCAGAGCUUGGUUUGGCGGGUUCAGUGAUGUGGUGAUAGAGUUUGGCAUGAAGAGAAGUUCAUGUGAUCAUAUUGUGUUUUUCAAACAUUCUGACAAAGGUUGUAUUUUGUUAAUUGUAUAUGUUGAUGAUAUUGUGAUUAUAGAGAGCGACGCACAUGAUUUUUUUUUCACUAAAAGAGUUUCUUCAGGCAAGGUUUCAGACAAAACAUUUGGGACAAUUGAAAUACUUUCUUGAGAUUGAACUGGCUUACUCGAAAAAAUGUAUAUUUCUUUCUCAAAGGAAGUAUGUUCUAGAUCUUUUGACAGAUACUGAUAUAUUUGGAGCAAAGCCUUGCGAAACUCCUAUGGAUCCAAAUGUCAAACUUGGAGCAGAAGGGGGGGAGAUGUUUACUGAACUAGAAAAAUACAGAAGACUUGUUGGAAAACUCAACUACCUCACAAUCACUCGUCUAGGCAUUGCAUUUUCUGUGUGUAUUGAGUCAGUUCAUGUUAGCACCCACUACUGUACAUUGAGAUGCCUUAAUCCACAUAGUAAGGUACUUGAAAAGAGACCCAAGAAAGGGUAUUGUGUAUGGAGAUCAUGGUGGUAUACAGAUUGAAGGGUUCACUGAUGCUGAUUUGGCAGGUUCGCCUAAUAAUAAGAAAUCUACAACAAGAUAUUAUGUAUUUAUGGAAGAAAAUUUAGUAUCUUUGAAGAGUAAAAAGCAAAAUAUAGUGUCUCGAUCUAGUGCAGAAUCAGAAUACCAAGCCAUGGCACAGACAACAUGUGAAUUGAUGUGGAUUCGAUAUUUUCUAGAAGAGAUUGGCUUUACAGAUUCUUCUCCUAUGAAGCUGUGGUGUGAUAAUCAGGCAGCUAUGCAUAUUGCAUCAAACCCAGUGUUUCAUGAGAGGACGACGCACAUUGAAGUUGAUUGUCACUUUUUGAGGGAGAAGAUUCAGCAAAAGCUCAUUUCCACCAAUUACAUACACUCAGAGCAGCAACUAGCCGAUCUGUUUACAAAGAGUCUUACCCAAGCUAGGAUUGAUUACAUUUGUAACAAGCUGAGCAUGAUUAAUAUCUAUGCUCCAGCUUGAGGAGAGUGUUAAGAAUAAAACAUGUGUUGGGCUUUAAAUUACAUGGGCUUGUAGGUAAUCUACUUAUUAGUGGUUAUGUUGAGUGGGCCUUUAGGCCCUAUAUGAUGUCUAUAUAUAUAUAUAUAUAUAUGUAACUCAGGUCAAGUUAAUUAAAUGAAAUCAUUUUUUCUUCACUUCAACAACAGUGAUGAUUCAUCAUCAAUAUUCAAUAGACGCUAUAAAGGCUACAGGCAAAAAGUACACUUCUAUGAUCGCUGUUUGGACCAAAAUGGAAGGAAAAUAAAAAUUCACCCAUUCCAAGGGAAGAUAAAUAUCUGCAUCAUACUUGUUCAUCACAAAGGGGAACACGUAUUGAAGUCUCAAAAACUAGUACCCUUCUACAGACUGGUCUUCUAAAUGAAGAUAAAUGCAUGCUUAGCCCUUGGAUCCACUUCAUUGUAGCAAAAUUUAAUUAUCCACUUCAGCUAACUAAGAAAACAUCAAGUGAUGACAUAAUUUCAACAAUUUUCUCACCCUAUAAUUUCAUAAUAGUGGAAAGACAUCAGCAGCCAUUGACCCUAAAUCCUCAUCUGUAGAAUUAAAAAGUCUUAUACAGUAAAAUAAAUGGAAAAAAGGAAAAGGAAAAGGAAAGGGGAAAAAAUAGGAUGUCUCCUUCCUUAAUGUGUUGUAAACAAAAUUGUGCCAUAAUUAGAUGCAAACUCACAUCCUCACUAACAUUCAGUGGUUGACUGAAACAGCAUUCUGACAAUACAUGACAAGGACCAGCAACAAAGAGACAACAACAGCAACAUCAUCAUCAUUGAUAGAAGAUAUGCCAAAUGGUAUAAAAUCACUUGUGCUGGUAAUACAAAAAGUUUGAACAUAAAACAAAACAUCUUGACUGUCUUUAUUAUUUAUGCUAUCUUAGGUCAUUGCAUGAACUGAAAAGUAUUGAGCCAUUCCCUCAACCUCAGGUCCCCAAAAUAUUGUGGAUAUCUUAUCAAAAGUUGAAGAAUGAAUAAUGAAAAAGGUCCAAGAACAGGCAACAGGAAGGGUUCAAAAGGCAUCACCCAAAAAAUUAAAAAAAAUAAACAUAAAAUAAACACCACAUUGUGUCCCAAACUCCUAACAUGAUCUCCAUAUAAAGCCAAGAUUUUAAAUUCCAUGGGACAGGGCUGUCCCGAUUUUCCCAUGGAACAGGACGCACCACUAUCCCGCCCCAUCCCGACACUUGGGAUAGAAGAUGUCUCAAGACAUCCCGAUCAGGACGCUGGGAUGCUAGCGGGACAUUCUAUCCCAAUACAUGAAAUGCUACCCCAUCCCAGUGUCCCGUGGAACAUCCUGCUGGGAUCUGAAUCCUUGCAUAAAGCAGCCAUUGACACUUUAGGCGCUGUGAAGGGAAAUGACAGAAGAUUUCUUUGUAGUUCAGCAAGGCAGUAAGCCAUACUGUUUACCGGGCAUCAUUCUUCUGCUUAACCAUUUAUUCAAAAAGAAAAUGUGAGUAACAGCUUUAAAUGGAUGACUUAUGAAUGAAACAAACAUUUUAUCACUUAAAAAUAUUUAAAGGAAAAUAACUUCUGAGGAAUAUUCAGCAUUGUAAACAAAGCGCACAUCAAAAAUAAUGUGUGAUGCAUGCUUCAAUUAGUAAGAAAGAAAAUUGGUUCAGAAAAAGAAAAAUCAUACACACUCCUUAAAAUAUCAAAAGGUAACAUUAAUUUGGAUCACAUACGAAUGCAACUAGCACAAAUGACCCUCUCUUUGAUUUGAGAUAUUGAAGAAGUUCUUAAAGCAUGCAUUUCCUAAAAAACUACAUGACACUACCAAAAUAAAUAAAAAUAAAUAAAUAAAAUCGCUGGAGUAGUAAGUUACCUGACAUAACUUGAGGACAUGAUGCACAAUCAAGGAAUUUUCUUCAAUAGCAAUAUUUUCAUUUAAACACCUGCAUUAUGAGAGUAAAAACAAUUUAUAUUCUCAAGAAAAUGCAAAAUCAGAAUGAAAUAUCGAAAAUCAGAAGUCAGUUUUGGAUUCACUCACUUAUCAGGUACUCUUUUUUCGUUUAUAAAUGACUGGGGAUUAAAAAUCAAUGCCAAGGACUUUAAUACAGGAAGGCACCAGCUAAAAAAUGUGACACUUUUAUAAGGAAGUCUGCUUUCCAGAAUCAGCUUUCCAUCUGAGUUAAACACACUGCUACAUCUCUUUAGUACUUUUCCUAAAAUUGUGACAGCCCCCAUCUUACAUACUAAUACCUGGAUAAGUCAGGAAAUUAAAACAAGCACAUAAAUGGCACAUAGACUAACAUGAUACAGCUGCAAAUUCAGUAACCUUGGCAUGCGGAUGCUCCAACAGAUUAGCAACAAAAUGAAGCAACCGAAGCAUCUGAACAGAAAACACAAAUCAAAUUUUAGAUCAUUUGGAGUGACCAUAACAAAAAUAACAGAGAAUUUAUCACCUUGAAAAUAUCCAUGUCAGACAGGGAUGUUUCAUCAACAUGAUUAUCCAUCCAUAAAAAUAUUGGUCGUAGAAGGACAACUGCACAUUCUGUCCUUUGGCAGGCAACACGAAUUAUGAAAACACGAAGCAUAUCUUGUAUGACCACCAAAGCCUGAGUAAUAAAUUAAUUGCAACAAAGAUUAACAUCUAAAUAAUUUAUUGUGCAUAAUCAACAUUUGAUCACCUACCAACAUCUAGAAGAAAAAAUAAAAGAAGCAAGAGAAAGCAACAUCUUAAGACAGGACAUACAGUAGAGGCAAAAUGCAGGACAACUUGUGCAAUUCUGUCAAGUUGUGGCGUCAGCCGAAUGAGUAGCACUGCUAGGUGUUCUGGCUGUAAAUACCAGUUGAUGUCUCUCUCUGCUUGAGGUCCUAAAAUCGACCCAAUACUCAAAAUUCUAAGAGCAGUUAAAGGGGGAAUAUCGUAUUUCCAUAGCCAUAUACCUUCCUCUGGAAAUAGAUCACCCUUUUGGUGCAUAAAAGUCACAUAUUAGAGAAUGCACUGGUUAAGUAAAGAAUCUAAAUAAUGAGAGCCAGACUCUGACUUAUCUAGAUAUUUAAAAUUAUGUAUGCAAAAAAAAAAAAUCAGAAUCUCCAGGAGAGGCUCCAUGAAGUUGUUAGCAUUAUUACCAGUAGGCAGAGCAUGCUGCAGGCAUCCUUUGGACCCAAGGCUAAUGAUGAAGUAGCCUGAACACUUUCAAGAAGACAAUGAAAUAGACCAGGUGUCCAACCAAAUAUAGGCCAGCAAGCAAGUGCUGAUGUAAGUAGCUGACAGACGGCACCAAAACCAAGUGCAGAGCUCGCAUAUGGAAAAGACAAGUCCACUGCACAAGCUGCUAAUUUUGGGCUGCAACUUGAACACUCAGGAUUAGAAAAAAUACAUCAACCAUAAAGGAACCAAAGGAAAAUUAAAAACAAAGUACCUUACUUCUCGAUGCAGUUGUAGAAGUGCGUUAAGCAAUUUUUUGUUGCGAUACUGCUCCUUUGUUCCCUACAAAUGCAGUGCCUUUUUAACUUAAAAGCAUACAAAAAACAAAUAGUGCUUAUUAACCUUAAUUGGUUAAAAAGCUAUCAAUUUUUAGGUCAAAGAAACAUUUUUCCUACAAACAUCACAAUACUUUAUUUUCGAUGCAAUGGAGAUAGAAAGACGAUGGACCCAUUAUUUUGUAUUGAAAUUGCACUCUGCCAAGAUAGAUCCGAUACUUCCAUAAAAUGCAACUCAAGUAAUUUUUGAUGAUUCUUUUUGACAUAGAUGCCGAAGUUAAUAGCCACUAAAAUGAACAUGACCCAACACUCUUGGACAAUGGAUGUCAUGUCGAGCCUCGUUCCCUAUCCCCUCCCGCACUCAGGAUGGUGCCCCAUCCUGCCACUCGAGAUGGUGGGACAUCCUGCAGUCCCACGAGGACAUAAAUCCUCGAAUACAACAUAAUACAAAUAUUUUGAUAUCGCAAAUCUUCAAAAAAAUUGGAUAUGAUACAGCUUGGAUACACUGCAAAUAAACACAUAUUAUUUACAUAUAUUUAAAAAGGAACAAUUGUUUUAUUUCCAUCCUGCAUACAUGUACCGGCAUCUGAUAAAUAUUGGAUAUAGUUAUGGCACGAAAAAUUCCAGUAUCCACGUACCCUGUGGACAAGUUGGUGUAAUUCAAAGACCAAGACUGCUUAGCCUGGUCAAGACACUAACUAAACCACAGCUUCUAAAGAACCAUCUUUCAAACACUGGGGACAUUCAGAUACUAAAAUGCAUACCCUUCUGCAGGACCAUGAAUUUCUCAACCUUCCCAAAUAACCCAGAUUGAAGUUCUACAUGCAUGGAUGAGAUAUCAAGGAACAGGAAGGAGCACCAAUCAGUAAUCAAGCCCAAAGAGUCAUACAAUCUAUACGAAGGAGAAAUUUAUAUUAGUCUAUGAAUAGGAGCAAUAAUGGCAAUUUUCUUCGGUAAGGAGACUAAGUAGUGAACUUCGAUAGUGGUUGUUAUGAACCUGUAUGUGACUUUUCACUUCAAUGCUUUCAGUUUAGAACAUAGCAAUUUCACAGAUUUGGUGCAGAUAAAUCAGAACGUGAUGAAUGCCAAAGAAGCAGUUGACUCUCCAUUAAUUAUCACUAGAGAAAACCUAGUUCACAAGUCCUUGAUGCGAUAUAAAAAUACAUAAGGUGUAAUUAUUUGCCAACAUGUUUUAGAUUCAGAGCAUUAAACAAGGAGAACAUGCAUGCUUAUGCAAACACUAACAUAAUCAUCCAUACACACAAAAUUCCUAGAUCCGACUUCUAACAUUUAGUUUCUAAGAAGAAGUAAAAUGUUAGCAACUCGAUCAAAUUAUAUUCUUAUGGAUUUUUCCUGCUGCAUGUUUCAUAACUGGGAGAACAAGGUCUAAGCAACCAUAGAACAUGAAUUUUCAGAAGCAUAUAUUGGCAUCCACAAGAGUCUGCCUAGUAUCCAUGGAACUAAAUUGACAAUUGCACUACUAAGUAGAAUAAUGAAUAUUUAAGGAUGCAAAUAGGUCAGGUCGGACCAGGUCAUGAGUGGCACCGACGUAACCUGGUUUCUUGAUCAAGUCCUAGUGUUGGACCCAAACCGAUCGAGUCGGGUCAGGUCCAAGGCCAAAAUUUUUAACCCAAACAAAUCAUUCGGGUCAGUUCGAGUCCAUGUAUAACCAAACCCAACUCGAAAAAUUGGGGUCCGGGUCAAAUGUUGCCAACCAUAUUCUAAUUACCACAUAACCAACUACAAUCAACCAAACAAAAUACAUAAUAAACAAUAUUAUUCUCAAAACAAAUUGGGAUAUAAAACUAAUUUGAAACAUCACUUUAUGUUAAAGAUAUUACUCAUACAAGUCUUAUAUCACAAUCUAGAGGCUCAAAUAGGUUCGGAUCCUAACAGUGUAGCAAGUUCAAGUCAAGUUGGGUUAAGUCCAAAUUCAAUAAACCCAGACCCGAUCUGAAAAAUAGAAGAGAUCCAAUUUUAGAACCUGACUCUGCCCCACAGGUCCUUUAAAAUGGGUCCGAUCGGGUCUAAGUGGGAGGGGCCAGGUCGGUCAAGGUCUGGUAACAAGUCAACCCGAUCCAUUUGCAGCCUUAUGAAUAUUAUCAACCCUGAAGCUUCUAGGGAUUUUGAGGUACCAACACCUUCAGCACUUGGAGAGACACAGUAGGGCAAUAUAGCAGCCCAUCAGUAGAGAUGUCAAAAUUUUCUCAAACUAAAUUUUAUACCUCUACAUGAGCUACAAAUUAGCUCCAUUAACUCUAUGCAGAUUACGAAUGUAAGGUUCCUUUUAUCAUAUGUAAAUACACAUUAUGUAAAAUUUCUUCCCAUUUCACAAGUUCCUACACUAAGAUUUUAUAUCAAAUAUAUCUACAUAAUAAAUAGCAUUAAAGAAGGAGUACAGCAGCAGGACAGAACAGUAUGUGUUUUAUUUGGUUAUUUGGUCACCCUUAAUUAUAGUAGAAUAAGUUGAUUCUCCCUGCUUUUUGAACCGGAUCAAAUUUAUCCACUUGAUGAGUAAGCCAAAUAUGGCUAAGUUUGAGUAAAUUGCAUAUUUGACCAGAUUUGCACAAUUUUUUAAACUACUUUCUAGUAGGUGUAAUGAGAUUAUUAGGGGAAUACCGUUAUCAUUAGAUCCAAGGAUUGAAGUGCCAAUCAGCACAAGUCUAUAUAACAUGACACAAAUCAUGCCAAUGCCUUACCAAUACAUGGCACUGGCAUAGUAGCAGAUAUAUAACGAUGCUUGGCACUCCAAAAUGCCAUUGCAUGUGGGCACUGGCACCAUCAACACAGCACAGCUUGGUAUGUGUCCUGUUGAUGCUAGGCCAGCACAGCUCUGGCAUGCAAUGACCAGACCUAUAACCUUGCUAUUUCAAGUUAACUCUCACUUUACAACUUAUAGGCAACCAAUAACCCUAGAUUAAAAGUAAGGAUUGGAGGAAACCACAUCAAGUUUGGGCUAGACCCAAAUCUAACCAACAAACUUGCAUUUCUACAAGAAAAUUAGUAAAAUAAAGAUCAACCUUUUGUCAGAUCCCUCUUGAUUAAAGUUCUCUAUAGCCAACCAAACUUUGAUCAGAGGGGCUUGGGCUAUUGUUUUCUCCACCAUGAGUUCUGAAAAUAGACAACAUCAAUUGUUUACACAAUAGUAUUGUCUGAUAAGACUUCGGUUGAGAUAUUGCAUUAUGAUUUCCUAUAACAAGCCUUUUGCAAAAACAUUAAACUAAUUAUGAUUAUAAAUAAUUUUGCUAACAUCAAAUUUUGAAAAUGUUUGACGAUUAUAAUUAUGAUUAUGUAAAAAUUUUGAAACAUCACACAAUUCAAUUUGCAAUGAAUUUAUAACACUGAUGUUGAUAGAACAUUGCAUAUUGGCUAUGCUUUAUAGCCAUAUACAACAGAUGGGAAAAGAAAAAUUAGGAACAAGAAGUCCUAUAAGAAUAUAUGACCAAAUGUAAUAAAUGGUCAAAACUUACAUGUAAUAUUCUCAAAAGGUUAAUUAGUAAAACAAGCAAAGGAAUCAUGAGUUCAACUAAGCUCUGUUCAUGACUUCGUUCCAAUAGCAAAUCAGUCGUAGUGUUACAUUCUGCACCUUCAUCAACUAGGUAAUCUGAAGAUUCAAACAAUAGCCAAAAUUCAGAAAAAUAUAACUCAGAAGAAAAAAAAUUAUUCAAUGCAAAGCAUGCAAAUGAAAAGAAAUCACAUGCCAAACAAAUGAUAUGCCUGGUCCAAAAGGAAAUUUUGCAUCCGAAACAACAUAAUCCUAAAACAUAUAAAGCAUAAAGCUAUUCAAGCCAGCUUAUAUAAAGUUAUGCAUGGGCAACUAAUUGUCAAGUUGAGAACCUAGCAUAAUAAGAUUAAGUACUAAUUAGAUUUUAUGUGAAGAAAUACUGUAAAAUUUAGACUUAAAUCUCUUUCGACCAAAAUGUGGCAGUAGUUGGGCUUAAGUAAAUUAAGCAGCAGUCAAAUGCCAAUUAUCUCAAGUAAUUGACUCGUGCAUCUUAGAUCCUUGUCCAAUUCUAUCUUGUCCAGAUUCACACGUCUAGUUUUUGCAUAGAGAUAAACCUUGAUAACUAAACUAACAAGAAAAUAGGGUAACAAGGUAUGUUGAACCGGUACCGCCGACCGUUUCAACCGGCCGAUGGUACGGUUCGGUAUGGUUUCAUACCGUACCGAACCGACGAUCCGAACCGAAAGAAAAAAAGAGAGAAAGAGAGAAAGAGGAAGAAAAAAAAGAGGGAGGGGAAGGAGCCGGCGAGGCCGCCGGACGGCCUCCGAUUGGCCGCCGUGGCCGUCGGAGGGCGCAAUCCACGCGCACGGCGCCGCAGGCGUGAAACAGGAGCAUCGCCCUGUUUUAUAAUUUUUUUAAAAAAUAUGGUUUUAAAUGAAGUCGGCAAACAAUUUGCCGGCUUCACGAUUUUUGUUCUUUUAAAAAAAAAACUUAAGUCGACAAUCCAGUUGCCGACUUCAUAAGUUUAAAACAAAAAAAGAAAAAAUCAAAACAGACAUCGUCUGUUUCGAAAAAAGGGGGGCGGAGCCCUCCGUGGCUCCGCCCGCUCGACCACCCUCAGACCGUCGACGUCGGCUCGCCGGCCACCGGAAGCCUCGCAACGAAGGUAUCGUCCGUCCGGUAGGUUGCCCGCCCUCCCUCCGAACGCUCUCUCUUUUUUGCUCUCUUGAAAGCCCUAUCGGACGAUACGAGGCUCGGAAGCCCUCCGACGGCCGCAGCCGACCACCGUCGGCCUCCGACGGCUCCCACCUCCCUCCCUCCCCUCCCCUCUCUCUUUUUCUUACUUUCCGUUCUUUUUUCUUCGGUACCGCCGGUGUACCGAUUUUACCGACCGAAUCGUGCCGGUUCCCCGUCGGUCCGGUACGAGAUGGGGUGUACCGACCGGUUCGGCACGGUAUGGCAAACCUUGCAGGAUAAUACAUUACCAAUAGCAAGAUGGAUAAAAAAGAUAUAUCUAAUUUAAGCCAUGCCACAUGUUGCCGCUGAAAUCUAGGUCAUGGUCGGAAAAGCUGGAGCAGUGAUGCGUCCUCCCAAAAAAAAAUCUACAAGCAAGUCCUGAUCAGAGUUAGCUCCAGUGGGGACCUUCCAGUGCUUAAGUCAAAUAACAGAAGAAACAGGUGAGGAGUGCAGAGAGAUUAUUUCGCACGUAUCUUAGGGGGUCCCCUGGAGGUCCUUUUAUAGACUAAGAUCAGAAAACUAUUUUGGGAAGUUACGUGGUCGAUUCAGGCGCGACGUGGCAAGACUUCCGACCGAGAUUAAUGAAAGGAUUAUUGCACCUACUAAGGUUUGCCAUAUCGUGCCGAACCGGCCAGUAUGCCCCAUAUCAUACCGGACCGACAGAGAACCGACACGAUUCGAUCGGUAAAUUCAGUACACCGAUAGUACGGAAAGAAAAAAAAGGAAAAGUGAGAAAGAGAGAGAGAGAGGAGAGGGAGGGAGGUGGGAGCCACUGGAGGCCGGCGGUGGCCGGCUGCGGCCGUCAGAGGACUUCCGAGCUCCGUAUCGCCCGAUAGGACUUUCAAAAGAGUGAGAAAGAGAGAGAGAGCGCUCGGGGGGAGGGACCUACCGGACGAACGACGCCUCCAUCGCAAGACCCCUGGUGGCUGGCAAGCCGACGCUGACGGCUUGAGGGCAGUUGAGCGGGUGGAGCCCCUCCGCGGCUCUGCCCCCUUCUUUUUCGAAACAAACGGUCGUCUAUUUUGAUUUUUCUUUUUUUUUUAGUUUUAAACUCAUAAAGUCGGCAACUAAAGAAUUUUUUUAAAAAAGGACAAAAAUCGUGAAGCCGGCAAACUAUUUGCCGACUUCACUUAAAACUAUGUUUUUUAAAAAAACUCACGAAACAGAGGCAAUGCCCCUGUUUCACGCCCGCGGCGCCGCGCGCAUGGACUGCGCCCUCCGACGGCCAACUGGAGGCCAUCCGGCAGCCCCGCCGGCUCCUUCCCCUCCCUUUUUUUCUUUCUUCCUCCUCUCUCUUUAUUUCUCUCUUUUUUUCUUCUGAUUCGGGUCCACUUGCCUUUGUCAGUUCGAUACGGUACGAAACCAUACCGAACCGUACCAUCGAUCGGUCGAUACGGCCGGCGGUACUGGUUCAGCAUACCUUGGCACCUACCUUUUCUAUUCCGGAGCCAACUGAAUGUCGUGGGCAUUUUUGAAUUUUGAAAUGAGUAGAGGUUGGAUUGGACUAGUUUCUUUUGUUGAGACUUCGGCUUGGUCCAAUGGAAGCAAGUGCUAAAGGAAAGAGAUGGCCAGGGCCGAUCGUGCUCGGUGAGAUGAAGACUGGUGAAGGUUGACAUAUACGUACGGCUGAAGUUAGAAAUCGGCUAGUUCAGGUGUCCCGCUGUCUGCAGACAUUGGAUAGGUGUUGAAUGCCAAUUGCCAUGGAGACAGACAGGUUUGAUGCCGAAGUCAGGAUCGGCCGAUCCUGAGUGUUCCGCCCAAGAAGAUAGCUAGGAGUCAAGGAUUGUCAUGGGUUGAACUUAAGAUUAGGUUGCGCCACCUACACUACCAUCGGCUCAUGUCUUCGGCCAAAGGGGAAACAUCCCCCCCCCCAAAACACCACAUCUGUUGGCUUUAGAGAAAGAUUUGAUCUGGAGGAAGGAGUCAUUGCUUGCUCGUUAGAAGGGAGAAUAUACAUUUAAAUGAAAGCUCUUUAGGGAGGAGAGGGAG